rnacentral:rRNA from 1 species
GACGAACGCUGGCGGCGUGCUUAACACAUGCAAGUCGAACGAAGAGCGAUGGAAGCUUGCUUCUAUCAAUCUUAGUGGCGAACAGGUGAGUAACGCGUAAUCAACCUGCCCUUCAGAGGGGGACAACAGUUGGAAACGACUGCUAAUACCGCAUACGAUCUAAUCUCGGCAUCGAGGAUAGAUGAAAGGUGGCCUCUACAUGUAAGCUAUCACUGAAGGAGGGGAUUGCGUCUGAUUAGCUAGUUGGAGGGGUAACGGCCCACCAAGGCGAUGAUCAGUAGCCGGUCUGAGAGGAUGAACGGCCACAUUGGGACUGAGACACGGCCCAGACUCCUACGGGAGGCAGCAGUGGGGAAUCUUCCGCAAUGGACGAAAGUCUGACGGAGCAACGCCGCGUGAGUGAUGACGGCCUUCGGGUUGUAAAGCUCUGUUAAUCGGGACGAAAGGCCUUCUUGCGAAUAGUGAGAAGGAUUGACGGUACCGGAAUAGAAAGCCACGGCUAACUACGUG